UUGUUGGUAAGGUAAAGGCUUACCAAGGCUUCGAUCAGUAGCUGGUCUGAGAGGACGGCCAGCCACACUGGGACUGAGACACGGCCCAGACUCCUACGGGAGGCAGCAGUGGGGAAUUUUGGACAAUGGGGGAAACCCUGAUCCAGCCAUGCCGCGUGAGUGAAGAAGGCCUUCAGGUUGUAAAGCUCUUUCAGCCGGAACGAAACGGUUACGGAUAAUACCCGUGACUACUGACGGUACCGGAAGAAGAAGCACCGGCUAACUACGUGCCAGCAGCCGCGGUAAUACGUAGGGUGCGAGCGUUAAUCGGAAUUACUGGGCGUAAAGCGUGCGCAGGUGGUUUUGUAAGUCAGAUGUGAAAGCCCCGGGCUCAACCUGGGAACUGCGUUUGAAACUACAAGACUAGAGUGUGGCAGAGGGGGGUGGAAUUCCGCGUGUAGCAGUGAAAUGCGUAGAGAUGUGGAGGAACACCGAUGGCGAAGGCAGCCCCCUGGGUUAACACUGACACUCAGGCACGAAAGCAUGGGGAGCAAACAGGAUUAGAUACCCUGGUAGUCCAUGCCCUAAACGAUGUCAACUAGUUGUCGGGCCUUUACGGGCUUGGUAACGUAGCUAACGCGUGAAGUUGACCGCCUGGGGAGUACGAUCGCAAGAUUAAAACUCAAAUGAAUUGACGGGGACCCGCACAAGCGGUGGAUUAUGUGGAUUAAUUCGAUGCAACGCGAAAAACCUUACCUACCCUUGACAUGUAUCGAAGCCCGCAGAAAAGCGGGGGUGCCCGAAAGGGAACGAUAACACAGGUGCUGCAUGGCUGUCGUCAGCUCGUGUCGUGAGAUGUUGGGUUAAGUCCCGCAACGAGCGCAACCCUUGUCAUUAAUUGCCAUCAUUUAGUUGGGCACUUUAAUGAGACUGCCGG
rnacentral:rRNA from 1 species